UAAGGAAUAUUGGUCAAUGGACGCAAGUCUGAACCAGCCAUGCCGCGUGAAGGAUGAAGGUCCUCUGGAUUGUAAACUUCUUUUAUAGGGGACGAAAAAAGGGAAUUCUUUCUCACUUGACGGUACCCUAGGAAUAAGCACCGGCUAACUCCGUG
rnacentral:rRNA from 1 species